UGGAUCACCUCCUAACAGGGAGACAACAACUGAUUUUGAUGUCUGAGUAAUUUAUUCUCAGGCCGAAAUCCUGUCAUCUCGAAGGUCGAUCGGUACCUCAACUUGAGGGUCUAGAGAAUUUAUUCUGCUAGGCCAACUCAAUUUCAGUUCCUAAACUUUGUCUAGGUCACCCACUAAGGGUAAAUAACUCCUGGGCCAUUAGCUCAGGUGGUUAGAGCGCACCCCUGAUAAGGGUGAGGUCCCUGGUUCAAGUCCAGGAUGGCCCAUUCGUGUUUGGGGGUUUAGCUCAGUUGGUAGAGCGCCUGCUUUGCAAGCAGGAUGUCAGCGGUUCGAGUCCGCUAACCUCCAUCCAACAGGAGGCCCCUUGGUUCGAAUUCUGAAAGGAGUUCCUGGUGAGGUGACAGAGAUGAAAUUCGGAACUGGCAUUGAGAAAUGACCAGAAAGCAACGCUGAGUCACGUGACUCCAGCCUCGUCUCAUUCCAGAGUUGAUGAUCUAACAAGAGAUCAACCGGUUGAAACGAUGCUGGACUCAAGGCUUUUAACCAAAGCCUUAAGUUUCAGCAGAACCUUGACAACUGCAUAGGUAAGUCUGGAAAUAAAGCAUCUCAUGGAUGCCCAGAUGCAAAAGAGAUCAAGUGAGGGUGAAUAACCUGAGCUUGAAAUUUUUGUGUGUUUGGGAAAAUUCUAUUGAGUUUUUAGAGCCGAGAAAUCCAAUGGUUCUUUUCAGCCAUCCAAGUUAACUGCGUGGAAGGCUAGAAGAGUUUGAUCCUGACAUUCAAGUCUGAUUGAGCUGGCCUGAAAGGGUGAGCUUGAAAAGAUACUGAAUCCAGAGAGAAUGGGCCUCAACAGCCUGAAGCCAUUGGAGGAUAAUUUGGUCAAGCUACAAAGGGCUCACGGUGGAUACCUUGGCACACAGAGGCGAUGAAGG
rnacentral:misc_RNA from 1 species